rnacentral:rRNA from 1 species
GUUAGGAAUAUUGGACAAUGGGGGCAACCCUGAUCCAGCCAUGCCGCGUGCGGGAAGAAGGCCUUCGGGUUGUAAACCGCUUUUGUCAGGGAAGAAAUCCUUUGGGUUAAUACCUCGGAGGGAUGACGGUACCUGAAGAAUAAGCACCGGCUAACUACGUGCCAGCAGCCGCGGUAAUACGUAGGGUGCGAGCGUUAAUCGGAAUUACUGGGCGUAAAGCGUGCGCAGGCGGUUUUGUAAGAUCGAUGUGAAAUCCCCGGGCUCAACCUGGGAACUGCAUUGGUGACUGCAAGGCUGGAGUGCGGCAGAGGGGGAUGGAAUUCCGCGUGUAGCAGUGAAAUGCGUAGAUAUGCGGAGGAACACCGAUGGCGAAGGUAAUCCCCUGGACCUGUACUGACGCUCAUGCACGAAAGCGUGGGGAGCAAACAGGAUUAGAUACCCCAGUAGUCC